GUCAGAAACACAGACCUGUAUGUACCCCAAUCUCAUCUGAUCUUGCAAACUAAGCAGGGUUGGGCCAGAUUAGUACUUGGAUGGGAGAAAGACAGACCUGGCA
rnacentral:rRNA from 1 species